GGAAUACGCUCUGGAAACGGAGAACAAAUCCCGAUGUACAGGAAGGAGGCAUCUUCUUUCUGUGAAACAUCCUUAGGGGAUGGGGCGCGGAUGGACCUGCGGUGCAUUAGUUUGUUGGCGGGGUAAAGGCCCACCAAGACGAUGAUGCAUAGCCGGCCUGAGAGGGCGGACGGCCACAUUGGGACUGAGACACGGCCCAGACUCCUGCGGGAGGCAGCAGUAGGGAAUUUUCGUCAAUGGGCGCAAGCCUGAACGAGCGAUGCCGCGUGAGUGAAGAAGGCCUUCGGGUCGUAAAGCUCUGUUGCGGGGGAAAAAAGGCAGCAUCAGGAAAUGGGUGCUGACUGAUGGUGCCCCGCCAGAAAGUCACGGCUAACUACGUGCCAGCAGCCGCGGUAAUACGUAGGUGGCGAGCGUUAUCCGGAAUGAUUGGGCGUAAAGGGUGCGCAGGCGGUCCUGCAAGUCUGGAGUGAAACGCAUGAGCUCAACUCAUGCAUGGCUUUGGAAACUGGAGGACUGGAGAGCAGGAGAGGGCGGUGGAACUCCAUGUGUAGCGGUAAAAUGCGUAGAUAUAUGGAAGAACACCAGUGGCGAAGGCGGCCGCCUGGCCUGUUGCUGACGCUGAGGCACGAAAGCGUGGGGAGCAAAUAGGAUUAGAUACCCUAGUAGUCCACGCCGUAAACGAUGAGGACCAAGUGUUGG
rnacentral:rRNA from 1 species